AGUUGAUCAUGUACCUGAAACACAAGAAAACAUCCAAUCCAUCGGACAACAUCACGAGAUAGUGCAUCAACAAAAUUCAUAUGAACAACAAUAUAGGUUAAUGUGUCAGCAAUAUCCAUAUGAACAACAUGGAACAGUGCUUCAAGAAAAUCCGUAUGGGUUUGUAAACUGUGUGAGUAAAUGCCAUCAAACUUCACUGUAUAGACAGUAUCUAAUAUUUCAUUAGGGUUAUUUUGUUUUUGCCAUUUAAAUUUUGUCCAAAUUUUAAGUUUGGUCUAACAUUUGUCCAGUUUGGUGUUAGGAAUCUGAAGUAGAUGUUGACCUAGGUUAAGUAUAAUUUUAAUUUAGUUAAAUCAAUAUUUUUAUAUUAAUUUUCUCAGCCGUUGAUUUUACAUAAACGUGGACGGCCAUAAAUAUUUAGCCACAUAAUCUGAAGAUCUUUCGUUCCUUCUUCAUUAUCCUCCUUUUUUCCCCCAGACCGAAAGAUGUUCACCAUUUUUUUCCUUCUUCAAAUAAACAUAAGAGGCGGUAUUGUUCCUGUUAAGCUUGCCGGCGACUAAAGAUUUCGCAAAUCAUUCACCUUCGUCUAAUUUGGUGUUGAUCGAAGAGGUGAUAAAUGAAGAACUUAUUUACCGAUCAAAAAAAAAAAAGAACUUAAAAGUGAAUCCUAGCUAAUUACUCAAAAUUAUGAUCUGAUGAAUUGAAAUGGAAUUAGGUUUAAUUUUUGUUAAUAGAUCAAAGGGGUUUCUUCUAAACCAGUCGUUUUUGACGAAAUAGGUGUAAUUCAAAGGAAUUGAAUUGUUUGAUCAAAGAUUUGGGGUUCUGAAAAAUCAAUUAUUGUUGUUUUGGUGUAUCAUUUUAUACAUAUUUGUGGGUUACGUUCCUAUAGAUUGAUUUCUGUCUAGAUGGAAUGCAAAUUAAUCAAUUUACAGACGAAGAUUAGCCAUGGGAUGCGAAAACAAUGGGAAUGGGUAUGAAGUGGAGUCUAUUGUUAAUGAAGAUCAGGAAUUGAUGAUCUCAUGUGAUGAUGAUGGUGGUGGUGAAGAGGGGAACUGACUGCUGCAGCAAAUAUUCAUCAAUGGAGUUUGGGGUUUCUGCGGAUGGAAGGGAUACCCAACGGCAAAGCUUCGCAGGCGGGUUUAGUGGUGGUUCAUUUACAGAAUGGAUGCUUGAUGGACUUCCACAUUGAUGAAUAUUUUCUUUUAAAGGUUUCAGAAAGACCGGAACUUUAUAUAUAAAGUUAUUAAGAAGAUUACAUUUUAAAAGUUAUUUUCUGCCUGGGAAUGAUGAUGCAAGGGUAUGGCAUUCAGCCUAACACAUAACAGAAAAGUUGUUUUCUAUCUGAUUCAUACUUUCGGCAACAUUUUAUCAUGUUUCUAUUUUUUAGCUGAUUACUUUUGUACUUGUCAAAAUGAAAAAUCGAUCACCUCUACGAUUUUUAUUGACGGCCAAGUUCUUGUCCGUGUUUCCAGGCCACCAACGUUUCGCGCAGGAUUUUCAUUAGUUACUUGCUCAUGAUUUCCCAUGCCAUUGCGGCUUCAUUAAUGCCUCAAGAGGAGAUUAGGCUUUAUCAAGAAUUUACAAGUAGGGAUUUAUUUUUUCUUUUUCUUUCGUAUUCUUUGUUAAAUGAAAAACCAAAAAGGAAGGAGAGAUUUUAAGUUCAAAUUAAUGGAGCGAAGGUCAAGGAAAUGCACUAUUUCAACAAAAGGGGCGGGUAGAGUUAGAAACGUUAAAAAGAGGCAAAUAUGUGCGUGUUGGACUCGGUGUGACUCACCGAGUUAACUAAACCCGUUUUUGUCUAACCUAUACCCUCCUGGUCGAGUUAGCUUAGCUACCCUGGUUAGGUUAGGUUAAAUCAUCUGGUUAGGCUCUUCGCGACGAGAUCAAAAACUAUAACUCAUCACCUACAACGGACACAGCUGCAUUGUUCUUCUUCGGUAGGAAAGUAAAGUUCCACAACUUGCUAAUGAAGGUGUUGGACUCUGGUACUUCUGCCUUAACGCUGCACAUGGAAUGGAGUGGUAGUGUUGCCCCCAGUGAAGC